CCUACGGGGGGCUGCAGUCGAGAAUCUUCGGCAAUGGGCGCAAGCCUGACCGAGCGACGCCGCGUGCGGGAUGAAGGUCUUCGGAUUGUAAACCGCUGUCGGAGGGGAUGAAAUGCAUGGGGGUACUCCCCUGUGUUUGACAGAGCCUCGGAGGAAGCACGGGCUAAGUUCGUGCCAGCAGCCGCGGUAAUACGAACUGUGCGAACGUUAUUCGGUAUCACGGGGCUUGGCGGGUGCGUAGGCGGCGUCUGAAAGCCCCCGGCUCAACCGGGGAACUGCGCGUGAAACUGGGGUGCUCGAGUGAGGUAGGGGUGUAUGGAACUUCCGGGGGAGCGGUGAAAUGUGUAGAUAUCGGAAGGAACGCCGGCGGCGAAAGCGGUACACUGGGCCGUGGCUGACGCUGAGGCACGAAAGCUAGGGGAGUGAACGGGAUUAGAUACCCCAGUUGUC
rnacentral:rRNA from 1 species